ACCAAGAAACGAAAGCUCUGAGAUGAUAGCACUGAGAAGAUCACACAGACUCUGAUUGUCACACCAAGCCCAGGGAGUGAGCCAAAUCCAAGAGCCAGGAAGCAGGAGCCAAGGUCAGAAGCUGAAUGCCAAGUCGAGGGAUCGAGCCGAAGCCAGGAGUCAGAGCUUGCAACAAGAGUAUCAGAUAGAGCAGAGCCAGGAGAAGGAACCAAGAGCCAGAGACCAGGAACAGGAUCUAGGAGCAAGGAGAGAGCUGAGAGCAGGAGCAGGAAACAGGAAGUGGAACCAGAUACACAGCUGUGGGUGUGGAACACUAUUUGAGAAGCCAGGUUCAUUAACUGAAGUAGCUGAGGGCAAUGAACUGAGGCUGGGUUCUGCUGUGGGUCUUUUACAGCAGAUGGGGAACUGGAACACGUAAAGUUAAAUGAUUUGCCCAU